GACGAACCGUGCGAACGUUGUUCGGAAUCACUGGGCUUAAAGGGCGCGUAGGCGGGCCGCCGCGUCCGGGGUGAAAUCCCCCCGCUCAACGGGGGAACGGCCUCGGAUACGGGCGGCCUGGAGGCGGGUAGGGGCACGCGGAACUGUGGGUGGAGCGGUGAAAUGCGUUGAGAUCCACAGGAACUCCGGUGGCGAAGGCGGCGUGCUGGACCCGUCCUGACGCUGAGGCGCGAAAGCCAGGGGAGCGAACGGG
rnacentral:rRNA from 2 species